rnacentral:rRNA from 1 species
AACGAACGCUGGCGGCGUGCCUAACACAUGCAAGUCGAGCGCGAACGUCACUUCGGUGGCAAGUAGAGCGGCGCACGGGUGAGUAAUACGUGGGUAAUCUGCCCUAAGGCCUGGAAUAACCCGGGGGAAACCCGGGCUAAUACCGGAUAAGACCACAGAGCUUCUGCUUGGUGGUAAAAGCGGGGGCCCUCUUCGGAGGCCUCGCACCAUGGGAUGAGCCCGCGGGCCAUCAGCUAGGUGGUAGGGUAACGGCUUACCAAGGCUAAGACGGAUAGCUGGUCUGAGAGGAUGAUCAGCCACACUGGAACUGAGGUACGGUCCAGACUCCUACGGGAGGCAGCAGUGGGGAAUAUUGCGCAAUGGGCGAAAGCCUGACGCAGCAACGCCGUGUGAGUGAUGAAGGUCUUCGGAUCGUAAAGCUCUGUCGGCAGGAACGAAGGAUGUUCUUUUAAAUAGAGAGAGCAUUUGACGGUACCUGCAAAGGAAGCACCGGCUAACUCUGUGCCAGCCGCCGCAGUAA